rnacentral:rRNA from 1 species
UGUAUAGCAAUAGCUGAUUGUAUCAACAAAUGGUUGAUGCAAUAUUGACUAUGUCAAAUAAAAUUCUAGGUAGAAUUAUGAUAAUGACAUUGUCUGCCUAUAUGUCUUGACCAAAUUACGUGCCAGCAGUCGCGGUAAUACGUAGAAGACUAGUGUUAUUCAUCUUUAAUAGGUUUAAAGGGUACCUAGACGGUAAAUCAAGCUUUCACAGGGACUAAUUUACUAGAGUUACUUACGAGGGGGUAUUAAAGUACUGCAGGUGUAGAGAUGAAAUUCUGUCAUACCUCUUUUCAAAAGAAAAAUUAUGGCACAGGUAUAGGUGAAAGCAUCCCUUUAUGUGAUAACUGACGUUGAAGGACGAAGGCUUUGUGUCGCGAACAGGAUUAGAUACCCCAGUAGUCAAAGCAGAAAAUGAUGAAUGUCAUAGAUUAGAUAUAUAGUUUAUUCUAUAAAUGAAAAUGUAAGCAUUCCACCUCAAGAGUAAUUUGGCAACAUUGGAACUGAAAUCAUUAGACCGUUUCUGAAACCAGUAGUGAAGUAUGUUGUUUAAUUUGAUGAUCCGCAAAAAACCUUACCACAAUUUGAAUAUUUGUAUCUAUCUUUUUUUUCGUAAAAAAAUAAAAAGGUAAUACAUUUACAAGCGUUGCACGGCUGUCUUCAGUUAAUGUCGCGAGACUUUGGUUAGUUCCAUUUAAUUAACGUAAACCCUUACUUUAUUUUUAUAUGAAGUAGUUCUCCGCUAUAUUGGAUAUGAUAACAGGGACUA